GAAGAAACUAGGCAACGUGCUGGAUGCUGUUUUCAAGCCUGAAGUUCGCUGAUCCAGAGCAGUCUUUCUACAAACAGGUCUGAAAUCCAGCAGCUGACGGACAUGUUGAAACUACAGCUUACACCUGCCGAUGAAGGAAUGAUCGUGAGUCAUUUAAAAGAAGAGAACAAAAGAGCCAUUGCUGGUGAUGAAAGAAGAAGCUCUCCCUGAACACCAGCAAUGGAAUCUGAGUGUUGACCAGGAGGACAUUAAAGAAGAAGAGAAGCUGUGGAUAAGUCAGCAGCUUCAGCAGCUGGAGGCGGCAGA